rnacentral:sRNA from 1 species
AGAAAAGGCAAGUGAAACAGAAGGGGAGGUGCAGUUUCAGAACCCAGCCAGCCUCUCUCUUGCUGCCCAGCCUCCCGCCGGCCUCAUCUUCGCCCAGCCAACCCCGCCUGGAGCCCUAUGGCCAACUGCGAGUUCAGCCCGGUGUCCGGGGACAAACCCUGCUGCCGGCUCUCUAGGAGAGCCCAACUCUGUCUUGGCGUCUGUAUCCUGGUCCUGAUCGUCGUCGUGGUGGUCGCGGUAGUCGUCCCGAGGUGGCGCCAGCAGUGGAGCGGUCCGGGCACCACCAAGCGCUUUCCCGAGACCGUCCUGGAGCGAUGCGUCAAGUACACUGAAAUCUAUCCUGAGAUGAGACAUGUAGACUGCCAAAGUGUAUGGGAUGCAUUCAAGGGUGCAUUUAUUUCAAAACAUCCUUGCAACAUUACUGAAGAAGACUAUCAGCCACUAAUGAAGUUGGGAACUCAGACCGUACCUUGCAACAAGGUAACUGGGGGCAUGCCGUUGAUUUUAAAACUGGGGAUAAAAGCCAAUGGUAACAAUUCAUAGGUCCAAAUUUUGAUUAGAAUGAAGGAAGAGGAAAAAUCCAGACAUUAUAGU